rnacentral:rRNA from 1 species
UGAGUAACACGUAUCCAACCUGCCGUCUACUCUUGGACAGCCUUCUGAAAGGAAGAUUAAUACAAGAUGGCAUCAUGAGUCCGCAUGUUCACAUGAUUAAAGGUAUUCCGGUAGACGAUGGGGAUGCGUUCCAUUAGAUAGUAGGCGGGGUAACGGUCCACCUAGUCUUCGAUGGAUAGGGGUUCUGAGAGGAAGGUCCCCCACAUUGGAACUGAGACACGGCCAA